GUGCCAGCCGCCGCGGUAAUACGGAGGGUGCAAACGUUGCUCGGAAUCAUUGGGCGUAAAGCGCACGUAGGCGGCUCGUUAAGUCGGAUGUGAAAGCCCCGGGCUCAACCCGGGAAGUGCAUACGAAACUGGCGAGCUGGAGUAUGGAAGAGGGUCGCGGAAUUCCCGGUGUAGAGGUGAAAUUCGUAGAUAUCGGGAGGAACACCAGUGGCGAAGGCGGCGACCUGGGCCAAUACUGACGCUGAUGUGCGAAAGCGUGGGGAGCAAACAGGAUUAGAUACCCUGGUAGUCCACGCUGUAAACGAUGGAUGCUAGGUGUUGGGGGUAUUGACCCCUCCAGUGCCGCAGUUAACGCAUUAAGCAUCCCGCCUGGGGAGUACGGCCGCAAGGCUAAA
rnacentral:rRNA from 1 species